rnacentral:rRNA from 1 species
ACACAUGCAAGUCGAACGAUGAUGCCCAGCUUGCUGGGUGGAUUAGUGGCGAACGGGUGAGUAACACGUGAGUAACCUGCCCCUGACUCUGGGAUAAGCGUUGGAAACGACGUCUAAUACUGGAUAUGACUACNGGCCGCAUGGUCUGGUGGUGGAAAGAUUUUUUGGUUGGGGAUGGACUCGCGGCCUAUCAGCUUGUUGGUGAGGUAAUGGCUCACCAAGGCGACGACGGGUAGCCGGCCUGAGAGGGUGACCGGCCACACUGGGACUGAGACACGGCCCAGACUCCUACGGGAGGCAGCAGUGGGGAAUAUUGCACAAUGGGCGAAAGCCUGAUGCAGCAACGCCGCGUGAGGGAUGACGGCCUUCGGGUUGUAAACCUCUUUUAGUAGGGAAGAAGCGAAAGUGACGGUACCUGCAGAAAAAGCACCGGCUAACUACGUGCCAGCAGCCGCGGUAAUACGUAGGGUGCAAGCGUUGUCCGGAAUUAUUGGGCGUAAAGAGCUCGUAGGCGGUUUGUCGCGUCUGCUGUGAAAUCCCGAGGCUCAACCUCGGGCUUGCAGUGGGUACGGGCAGACUAGAGUGCGGUAGGGGAGAUUGGAAUUCCUGGUGUAGCGGUGGAAUGCGCAGAUAUCAGGAGGAACACCGAUGGCGAAGGCAGAUCUCUGGGCCGUAACUGACGCUGAGGAGCGAAAGCGUGGGGAGCGAACAGGAUUAGAUACCCUGGUAGUCCACGCCGUAAACGUUGGGCGCUAGAUGUAGGGACCUUUCCACGGUUUCUGUGUCGUAGCUAACGCAUUAAGCGCCCCGCCUGGGGAGUACGGCCGCAAGGCUAAAACUCAAAGGAAUUGACGGGGGCCCGCACAAGCGGCGGAGCAUGCGGAUUAAUUCGAUGCAACGCGAAGAACCUUACCAAGGCUUGACAUACACCGGAAACGGCCAGAGAUGGUCGCCCCCUUGUGGUCGGUGUACAGGUGGUGCAUGGUUGUCGUCAGCUCGUGUCGUGAGAUGUUGGGUUAAGUCCCGCAACGAGCGCAACCCUCGUUCUAUGUUGCCAGCGCGUUAUGGCGGGGACUCAUAGGAGACUGCCGGGGUCAACUCGGAGGAAGGUGGGGAUGACGUCAAAUCAUCAUGCCCCUUAUGUCUUGGGCUUCACGCAUGCUACAAUGGCCGGUACAAAGGGCUGCGAUACCGUAAGGUGGAGCGAAUCCCAAAAAGCCGGUCUCAGUUCGGAUUGAGGUCUGCAACUCGACCUCAUGAAGUCGGAGUCGCUAGUAAUCGCAGAUCAGCAACGCUGCGGUGAAUACGUUCCCGGGCCUUGUACACACCGCCCGUCAAGUCAUGAAAGUCGGUAACACCCGAAGCCGGUGGCCUAACCCUUGUGGAAGGAGCCGUCGAAGGUGGGAUCG